GGGGUUGUGGCUCAAUGGUGGAGCGCUCGCCUAGCACGUGCAAGGCCCUGGAUUCGAUCGUCAGCACCACA
rnacentral:tRNA from 1 species